AUUGAACGCUAGCGGGAUGCCUUACACAUGCAAGUCGAACGGAGUGGCGAACGGGUGAGUAAUGUAUCGGAACGUGCCCAGUAGCGGGGGAUAACACUUGGAAACAGGUGCUAAUACCGCAUACUGAUGGAUGAACCCGCGGUGCAUUAGCUAGUUGGGGAGGUAACGGCUCACCAAGGCGACGAUCCGUAGCUGGUUUGAGAGGACGACCCGCCACACUGGGACUGAGAAACGGCCCAGACUCCUACGGGAGGCAGCAGUGGGGAAUUUUGGACAAUGGGGGAAACCCUGAUCCAGCCAUCCCGCGUGUGCGAUGAAGGCCUUCGGGUUGUAAAGCACUUUGGGCAGGAAAGCGGUACCUGCAGAAUAAGCACCGGCUAACUACGUGCCAGCAGCCGCGGUAAUAC
rnacentral:rRNA from 1 species